CCUACGGGGGGCUGCAGUGGGGAAUAUUGGACAAUGGGCGAAAGCCUGAUCCAGCCAUGCCGCGUGUGUGAAGAAGGCCUUCGGGUUGUAAAGCACUUUCAGUGGGGAAGAAAGCCUUGGGGCUAAUACCCUCGAGGAAGGACAUCACCCACAGAAGAAGCACCGGCUAACUCCGUGCCAGCAGCCGCGGUAAUACGGAGGGUGCGAGCGUUAAUCGGAAUUACUGGGCGUAAAGCGCGCGUAGGCGGUCUGAUAAGCCGGUUGUGAAAGCCCCGGGCUCAACCUGGGAACGGCAUCCGGAACUGUCAGGCUAGAGUGCAGGGGAGGAAGGUAGAAUUCCCGGUGUAGCGGUGAAAUGCGUAGAGAUCGGGAGGAAUACCAGUGGCGAAGGCGGCCUUCUGGACUGACACUGACGCUGAGGUGCGAAAGCGUGGGUAGCAAACAGGAUUAGAUACCCUGGUAGUC
rnacentral:rRNA from 1 species